rnacentral:rRNA from 1 species
UACGGAGGAUCCGAGCGUUAUCCGGAUUUAUUGGGUUUAAAGGGUGCGUAGGUGGAUAGGUAAGUCAGUGGUGAAAGUUUGCAGCUUAACUGUAAAAUUAGCCGUUGAAACUGCCGGUCUUGAGUGCAAAUGAGGUAGGCGGAAUGCGUCGUGUAGCGGUGAAAUGCUUAGAUAUGACGCAGAACUCCGAUUGCGAAGGCAGCUUACUGGGAUGCAACUGACGCUGAGGCACGAAAGCGUGGGUAUCAAACAGGAUUAGAUACCCU